rnacentral:tRNA from 1 species
GGUUCCAUGUUGUAAUGGUUAGCAGUCUGGAUUCUGAAUCCAGUGAUUGAAGUUUCAGUGGAACCU